UUAGGACAAUCCAAGCUCAUAGUGAGCUUAGUGAGGUCCCAAGGAAGCUCGGAGUGCUUCGUUGGAAGUUUCUGGACGUAAGAACACGGAGAUCGACAAGUUCAAAGUUUGGCCGGAGCUUUCGAGGCUUUUUCCGGCAAAUCCCCGGCGAGUUAGGAGUCGAGGUAGGUAUCAAUCUCUUCGUCUCGUCAAGUACUACAACUUUCCUUUUUAUUUCACUCAAUUUCGUUGAGUAUUGAAGAAGUUAUACUCAUUUGAAAAAUACCCAGUUUCCGGCGACCUCCGAGGCUUUCGAGGCAGUUUCCGGCCAAACCACGGCGAACUAGGUGUUGUGCAAGGUACCAUUCUCUUUGUAUCUUCAAGGGCUACAACUUUAGUUUUUGAAUCACUUGAUUUCGUUGAGAAAUGACAAAGUUAUGGCAAUUUGAAAAACUGCCCGGAAAACGGCCGCCGGAAAAACCAGUCCGGCGACCCAAGGAAGAAGAAGGUGCUACAGUAAAAAUAAAAAAUAAAAAUAAAAUUAUUUUAAAAAUAUGUCGACGUCCGUGACGUCGAGUAGAUCACUGUGGUUAUAUUCAUAUACCUAAAUUGAACACCGUAUGAGAAAGUUAUUGAAGAUUGUUGGUUAGGUGUUCAAAUAACGUUUUAUAGUUUUCACAUUUAGGUGAAAAUGUGAAUUGAUGAUCCGACCGUUGGAUCAUCACCAAACUUUGAUACGUUAUAGUACGUAAUAUUUGAGGAUUAUUGGAACUUACGGAUUGGGAAUCCGAGUUACGGAUCUUCCGGAAUUGGAAUUGUAAGUCCAUAAUAUAAAAUGUUAACCGUCACUUAGUUUUGGAAAUUGACGGAAAUCCAACCGUUGGAUGGUAAUGAAAUUUUAGGAUGUUGUCCUAGAGGUAUAAUGUGGACCUCUGGAAGUUAUGGAUUUAAAAUCUGAGUGGCAGAUCUUCCGGAUCGAACUACGUAGUGACGUAUUUUAUAUAAGUUAAAUAUUCUAUCGAUAUGAAUUCUGAGGUUGGAUUUGAUUACUAUUCUAGGCGGCGAUCGUCGUGACGCCUUGAUGUGUGGUGCUAGGGAGUUGUUGGAUGAACUCCAGGUGAGUGGGCAGUUUUGUUUUCCGUAUAUAUAUAUAUACUUAACGUUUUCCCAGAAAUUGAAAAUGCAUGAAAUUAUGUUUAAAAUGGAAUGCAUAUGAGUUAUGUGGAAAAACGGGAAGUGAAAUACCAUGCAUAGAAUUGAUAUGAAAAGUAUAUAGAAAUGUGAGUUGAAAUGCCAUGCAUGAAUUAAUAUAUGAUGCAUAUGUAUGAAUUGGUGCGGUGGACGCACAGGUAAGAAUUGAUUUAUGAUGCAUAUGUAUGAAUUGGUGCGGUGGACGCACAGGUAAGAAUUGAUUUAUGAUGCAUAUGUAUGAAAUGGUGCGGUGGACGCACAGAUGAGUAUUUAAUUACUGUUAUGAUGAUGAUGAUAUAUAUCGAGCUCAAAUCCUGCACCAUGGUUUAGUGCUUAUAGUAUUCACCGCAUCGCACGCUCGCCUUGGAUCCAAGUAGAUGCUAGUCGUACAGUCCACGCGGAGUGGGUACGACAGACCAGUCGCGAGAGUGUUAGUGAGAUUCCGACUGGUGGGUGACCUUAGAUUAUGUGCACAGCUGAUUUAUGAGAAGCACUAGAGCGUAACUUGUGUGCAGAAGGCCGGACGGGUCACAGAGGUGACUCCGGUAGAGUGAUAAUGAUAGAUUUUGAGCUCUAGGUUCAACCGUAUAGGGCUAUUAGAGGGCCUACGGUUGAUUACUUUCUUGCACCUGAUAUGAUUAUGUUGAUGCAUUCAUACCUUAUUACUGUUGAGAUGAUGUGGCAUGGCAUAAUUAAUAUAUGAGAAAUGUUGAGAUGACAUGGCAUGGCAUGAUUGAUAAAGAGAUAAUGUUGAGAUAGUAAAAAUGAAGUUUUGAGAAUAUAUAUGUAUAUUUAUAUUUUACAUUUCUGAGAAAGUAUACAGGUUUUACGGAGAGGGGUUACAACGUUUUGAGAAAUGUUUGGAUUUGGAAAAGAAUUGUUUUACUGACCCACUCAAUUUUGGUUUUGCGCCCCUCCAGGUUCAGGAAUCACAAAGGUGUGGUGACUACGAGGAAUUCGACGGUGUUCUGACAGAUUGGACAAAAUUAGGACUCACCUUCGGGUGUAUCAACUUAUAAAUUGUAUAAUUAAAGCUUCCGUACUGUGCAAAUGGUUACGUCACUCUCACGUGACGGCCAGCAUGCCCUCCUUCGGGACGGGGUGUGUGUCAGUUGGUAUCAGAGCAUGGUUGCAAUCUUGGACAUUUUGAGAAGUUCUAGUGAAUUCUGUCAGAACUACACCGCCUCGUAGCAAACCACGUAGUUAGAGGAAUUUAGUCUCCCUGAUUUAGCGGUUUGGGGGAAACUAUUAUUAUGGUGAUUCAGUAUAUUAUCAAAAUGGACAUUUUAAGACGGGUUAUGAGUUGAAUUUGAAUCACCUUAUGAAAUGAUGAACCUGAGGGAGCGGAGUGACGGUUUAACCAAUUGGAAAAGAUGUUUCAGAUUAUGCAAGUCAAAGGAAAUUUCCUUCUGACAGGUGGGUCGAGACGACUACCUGGUUUUGGGUAUGAAAUUGUAUCCUGGUGGAAACAGGAAUGUUAAUUGUUGUCACCAGAGGAAUCAGCCGAUUUAAAAUUUUUUAAGGAAAAGUUUAUCCCUCCGGCAUUUAUUGAUGGCAGUAAACAAGAGUUUACAAAUAUGAGACAAGGAAGGUGAUGAUCGAGGGAUAUUAUAGAAAGUUUUCAGACUUGCCUCGUUCCAUCCAGAUAUUGUUGUUAAUUUGGUGGAGGUGUUAUGUUGUUUUAAGCUGGGUGGCAAAAAGGGAAGUGGUAUUUUGGGUGACCACUAUCCAUUGUAGUUCUUAUCAGGAGUAUGCUAGAUGUUGUUGAGCCUUGAGGACUCUGAGAACAUGAGCAACGAGAAUAAAGAAGAAUAAGAAAAGAAUGGGAAUUAAAAGAAGACAAUAAAGUUAAUGAUUCGUCAUAUCAAGAAUAUCGAAGGAUUCAGAGCUUCGAAAGAAGUGAAGCUAGAGUUAAUUCUUCCAGCUGAGGUUUUAAUGUCGCUGGUCAGAGUAAAAGUGAUGGAUAUACUGGUAAUCCCAGAUAUUUGAGACAAGGUGUCUCGAGUAAAGGAAAUGUACUUUGGUGCAGCAGGUACAAAAUUAACACUUUGGGAAAUGUGAAAUUAAUGAAUGUGUUUAUGUGAACAGAGGGGACACAGAAUUGUGAAUCGUCCCUAGAAUCAGUUGUACUCAAUAAUUUUCCAUGAUAUCAUAGUGUCGAUUCAGCAGAGUUAUGGACUUAGUAGUUUGGUCGGAUUGACCGUGAGUACAGAGAGAUUUGAUGAGUUAUAUGUUCAGCUGUACAGACCAUGAGAAGUGGAUUCGAUUGACACAUGAGAAAUUAGUGAGUUAUAGGCUCGGCCGUACCGACCACGCGGAGUGGAUCCGGCCGACGUAUUAUUGAGAUAAGAGUUGAAUCAACCGUAUUGGUCAUUCUAGUUGACUUCGGCUGAUAUAUUUCUUAUUAUGUAUGAUAUUACCUAGAGAGUGGUAAAUAAAUGUAGUUGAGACGAGUGUAUGUAUUUUGCAUUGAGUGACAAAAUAGUAAUGUUAUAUCUUUGUGAGUGGUUGCCUACUUAUCGAGACAACGAUGAUUUAUCAGUAUUGCGGGCUGCAGACCGUAAUAUUAAUAACUCAUUCGUGGAUUCGUUAAGCAAGCAAACCGGUAGGUUAUUUUAUGUUAAUGUUGUACUUAUUUAGAAUGUUCAGUAUUAAUAAAGUAUGUAUUGUGUCGGUUAAAUUAUUUCCAUUAGAGUGGUUGGUUAUAAUUGUGACUAAAUGGAUUGUUACGGGAAACCAGUCACUUUCCAUCGAUCUGGAUGACCAGAGAUUACUUUUGUAAGUAUGCAAAGUGAAGUGAGUUCAGCCAUUAUUUAUGCUGUGAAAGCAAAGAGAUUGUUUUGAAAGGCUGUCAAAAAUACUUAGCUCAUGUGGUGCUAAAUGAUGUUGUUUGGAGUAGUGUGAAUAAUGUCGAAAGGGUUAGACUUUUCUUGAUGUCUUCUCUGAAAGUAUACCUGGAUUGUCUUCAGGCAGAGAUAUGAGGUUCAUUAUUGAUUUGUUGCCAGGUAUAAAUUUUUAUGUUAAAGAUUGGUUCAUGAUGAGUUAAGGGAAUUGGAAAUUCAGUUGAGAGAAUUGGUUGAUAAAAGUUUUAUUCAACCUAGUACAACACUUUUGAGGAGCCCCAGUUUGUUGGUGAGGAAGAAAAUGGAUCUUGAGACUGUUCAUUGAUUAUAGACAAUGGAGUCGGGUAACGAUUGAGAAACCGUUAUCCAUGGUGAUGUACUGAUGUUUAUUUAAACCAGCUCAGAAGUAAUAAUUGCGAAGAUUCAAAGAUUGAAUUGAGGUCUGGUUAUUACCAAUUAAAGAUUAUGAGCGACGUUGUUCUUAAGAUUGUUUUUAUGAACUAUGGUGUGAUGCUAUAUGGAUACUCAUGCUGUUUUAUGAGUUAUUGGAUGAAGUAUUCCAAUAAUGCCUUGAUAAAUUGAUAUCAUUUCCAUUGAAGAUAUUCUGGCAUAUUCUGAACCAGAGCAGAGUAUGUAAACGUAUUAAGUCAAUGAAGCAAAGAUUGAGAGAACGUUAGUUGUAUGCUAAGUUUAGCAAAAGCUAAAGUUAAAUGGAUCAAGUGGCAUUCUAAAAUUUGUUAUGUCUACUUAAGGUAUUCAAGUGAAUCCUUAAAGGAUAGCAGAAAUUGAGAAUUUGGAACAACCACGAGUCGUAAUUGAGAUUUGGAAUUUCUUAGCUUACCAGGCUAUUUUGGAUGGUUGUGAAAGAAUUUUUAGUCAUUGCUUUGUCAUUAACGAGACUGAUGAGAAAAGAGGUUAUGUAUGAGUGGGAAGGAAUUGUAAGCAAAGGAUUCAACAACUGAAGUAUUUCCUCACUCAUGCACGUAUUUUGGUAUUCCCAGAGAAUAGUGGUAAUCAUAAAUUUUUGGUGAUGUUACAUUAAAUGUUCUUGGAUAUGUACUAAUGCAAAUGUUAGGGUGAUUGCAUACGUUUCACGACAAAUGGAAUCUCAUGAGAUGAAUUACCCUACUAGUGAUUUGGAAGUCACGAUUACCAUCCUUGCUGUGAAGUUAUGGAGACAUUAUAUUUUAGUGAGAAUGUAAGAUUUUACAAAUCAAAAGAGUCUUCAAUAUCCAUUACUUGGAAGGAUUUUGAUAUGAGGCAGCGAAAGUGAAUUGUAUUGCUUAAUGAACAUGAUUGUACGAUCAGGGUGAUCGUAAAGUUUGUUCUAGCUGAAGCACUUGAUAAGAAGACUGCAGUAAGAAUUAAUAUCUAGUACGCUUGCCAAGAUUAUCUUCUUGUGGAUUGGAAAUCAACUAAAGUAAAGUUAAGAAUGAAAGAUCGAGAAGAAGUUAUACUUGCUAAGUUUCAAGUUAGGCCUUUUGGUAAGGUCGUACUCGAGACUCAAAUGGUAUGUGGAUACAAGAAAACAAAAAGUAUGUGCCUAAUGCUGAGGAUUUGAAGCAAGCAAAUAUUGGACGAAGUUCACUGUUCAACUUCUGCAAUAUUCCGAAAGUAAUAAGGUUUAUCAUACCAUUCGACAUUUUUAUUGGUCAGCAGAUUGAGGCAGAAAGAAAUAAACCUUUGGAUUGAGACAGCUAUUUUCUGUUUCGAAACGGAAAUGGAAAGAGAAUUGGAUUACGGAACUGCUAAGUUUCUUAAGUAUGUUGGUUGCGCAGUUUCCCGAAGUGAAGCCAUAAGGUUCAUGAAGUGUGUCAUGUGUGUGUUUUGUUGACUUGUGAAUGGAAUAUUUCUGGGUAGAGAAAGAUUCGAUCGAGAAAGAGUUUUAGUAGACCCUGAGACUAUGGAUGAGUCUCCUCAAAGUAUUCAGGUGAUUAAGUUAACCUAAAAGUAACCAGGAAUGACAAAAGACAUCAACAGAUGGAUAUGCCACUAAUCGAGUAUAUAAGGCAAAUGGUUUUAUAUUUUAGAAGUGUUCACCUUAGAAAAGUAGAAUUUGGAUUGGAAAAAGAAGGUCCUGAGAGUUAAGAUAGAGUAAAUGGUAAAAGUUUUGUGAAGGAAUCAUUCAGUGGAAGAAAAUUACGUGGGAGAAAAAGAAUCGGAUGAAAGAAACUUACCGAGGUUGGUAUAAGUGUUUGAUGAAUUGGUUGGUUGCUGGAAUUUCGGGGACGAAAUUCUAUAAGGAGGGAAGAUUGUCACAAGCCCGUUCCAAAUUAUUAUAUUCGUGGCUGUGAAUGGACGAAAUUGCCCUUAAGAAAUACUAAAUUUGUGAAGCUCAGGUUGCUAAUUAUCUAGGUUCCUAAGUUUGAAAAUAAAAUGGAAUUUAAUAAGGAUGGAACUUAGAUUUUUUAGGUUAAAAUGUUAAAGUUUGGUGUUUGGAGAUUGGAAUAAGGACCACGUGGGAUCCCCACAUCCCUCAAAACCCUCCUCAUUUCCCGUUCACUGUCUUUCUCUCUCCUCCUUCACGAUUUCUCACUCUCUCUGUCUCUCUCUCCUUCGAACUCACACGGACCACCACCAAAACCACCCUAAAUCUAUACCAACGUCAAGUUUGAGACCACCAUUGGAAUCCUGAGGACUUCACGAUCACGUUGGUAUCCAUUUCAGGUAAGUUUUUACUUCGGAAAAACCUAGAUUCUAAACUCCCCAUGAAAGUGUACUGUUCAUGAGCUUUGAAUUGGUUGAUUUUUAGGACAAUCCAAGCUCAUAGUGAGCUUAGUGAGGUCCCAAGGAAGCUCGGAGUGCUUCGUUGGAAGUUUCUGGACGUAAGAACACGGAGAUCGACAAGUUCAAAGUUUGGCCGGAGCUUUCGAGGCUUUUUCCGGCAAAUCCCCGGCGAGUUAGGAGUCGAGGUAGGUAUCAAUCUCUUCGUCUCGUCAAGUACUACAACUUUCCUUUUUAUUUCACUCAAUUUCGUUGAGUAUUGAAGAAGUUAUACUCAUUUGAAAAAUACCCAGUUUCCGGCGACCUCCGAGGCUUUCGAGGCAGUUUCCGGCCAAACCACGGCGAACUAGGUGUUGUGCAAGGUACCAUUCUCUUUGUAUCUUCAAGGGCUACAACUUUAGUUUUUGAAUCACUUGAUUUCGUUGAGAAAUGACAAAGUUAUGGCAAUUUGAAAAACUGCCCGGAAAACGGCCGCCGGAAAAACCAGUCCGGCGACCCAAGGAAGAAGAAGGUGCUACA
rnacentral:lncRNA from 1 species